rnacentral:rRNA from 1 species
UACGAAGGGGGCUAGCGUUGCUCGGAAUCACUGGGCGUAAAGCGCACGUAGGCGGAUCUUUAAGUCAGGGGUGAAAUCCCGGAGCUCAACUCCGGAACUGCCUUUGAUACUGAGGGUCUCGAGUCCGGGAGAGGUGAGUGGAACUGCGAGUGUAGAGGUGAAAUUCGUAGAUAUUCGCAAGAACACCAGUGGCGAAGGCGGCUCACUGGCCCGGUACUGACGCUGAGGUGCGAAAGCGUGGGGAGCAAACAGGAUUAGAAACCCCAGUAGUCC